ACCCAAAUGUUCGGGCAUAUUUUG
rnacentral:siRNA from 1 species